AACACACACACAAGAAGAAGAGAUGAAUAGUAUAGACAAUAGGAUGAAAAGAAGAAAGAAGACUAAAUACAUUUAUAUCGAGAUAGUUUUUUUUUUUUUUUUUUUUUUUUUUUUUU
rnacentral:ribozyme from 13 species